rnacentral:rRNA from 1 species
UACGGAGGAUGCAAGCGUUAUCCGGAAUCAUUGGGCGUAAAGCGUCCGCAGGUGGCUGUUCAAGUCUGCUGUUAAAGACAGAAGCUCAACUUCUGAGCAGCAGUGGAAACUGGACAGCUAGAGUACGGUAGGGGUUGAGGGAAUUCCCAGUGUAGCGGUGAAAUGCGUAGAUAUUGGGAAGAACACCAGUGGCGAAGGCGCUCAACUGGGCCGUAACUGACACUCAGGGACGAAAGCUAGGGUAGCGAAAGGG